rnacentral:tRNA from 1 species
AGUCUUAUAUUCAAUAAUGAAUUUAAAUUGCAAAUUUAAAAGUAUAUAAAUAUAUUAAGGCUU